rnacentral:rRNA from 1 species
CCUACGUGUGGCUGCAGUAGGGAAUAUUGCUCAAUGGGGGAAACCCUGAAGCAGCAACGCCGCGUGGAGGAUGAAGGUUUUGGAUUGUAAACCCCCUUUGUUAGAAAAGAUAAUGACGGUAUCCAACGAAUAAACCCCGGCUAAAUUCGUGCCAGCAGCCGCGGUAAUACGGAGGGUGCAAGGGUUACUCGGAAUGACUGGGCGUAAAGAGCGCGUAGGCGGGAUAGCAAGUCAGAUGUGAAAUCCUAUGGCUUAACCAUAGAACUGCAUUUGAAACUGUUAUUCUAGAGUAUGGGAGAGGUAGGUGGAAUUCUUGGUGUAGGGGUAAAAUCCGUAGAGAUCAAGAGGAAUACUCAUUGCGAAGGCGACCUGCUAGAACAUAACUGACGCUGAUGCGCGAAAGCGUGGGGAGCAAACAGGAUUAGAUACCCUGGUAGUC